rnacentral:rRNA from 1 species
AAAUUGCCGGUAGUUAAAACGAAUGGCAAUGGAUCAUACACACACAUUCAGACAUUGGGCGGUAAGGUCCUAUGUCGAGAGGAGAACAGUCCAGAGGUGGAGCUUAGGUACCUAAAAUAAUUUAAAUAUAUUUAUAUAAAGAUG